AUGUCCUACAAGUUUAGCAGUUUCACUCAGAAGUUGGCCAGAGCUUGGGCUUCAGAAGCCUAUACUCCACAGGGGUUAAAGCCAGUUUCCAUGGAAGCACCAACCAAACUGACCUCUAGUGCAACAGCGUACGAUUAUGCUGGGAAGAACAAAGUUCCAGAGCUGCAGAAGUUCUUCCAGAAGGCUGAUGGUGAGCCCAUCCACCUGAAACAAGGUCUUCUGGACCAAAUGCUUUACCGGACCACCAUGGCUCUGACAGUGGGAGGGACCAUCUACUGCCUGAUGGCCCUCUACAUGGCCUCGAAGCCCAGAAACAAAUGAGUUUACCUGA